AUUGGCGACACGCCCGAGUGCAAAUCGGGAGAAGGACCCCUACAGGGUCCCGGGGCUU
rnacentral:tRNA from 1 species